AUUGAACGCUGGCGGCAUGCCUUACACAUGCAAGUCGAACGGUAACAGGUCUUCGGAUGCUGACGAGUGGCGAACGGGUGAGUAAUACAUCGGAACGUGCCUAGUAGUGGGGGAUAACUACUCGAAAGAGUGGCUAAUACCGCAUGAGAUCUACGGAUGAAAGCAGGGGAUCGCAAGACCUUGUGCUACUAGAGCGGCCGAUGGCAGAUUAGGUAGUUGGUGGGAAAAAAGCUACCAAGCCGACGAUCUGUAGCUGGGCUGAGAGGACGAUCAGCCACACUGGGACUGAGACCCGGCCCAGACUCCUACGGGAGGCAGCAGUGGGGAAUUUUGGACAAUGGGCGCAAGCCUGAUCCAGCAAAGCCGCGUGCAGGAUGAAGGCCUUCGGGUUGUAAACUGCUUUUGUACGGAACGAAAAGCCCUGGGUUAAUACCCUGGGGUCAUGGCGGUACCGUAAGAAUAAGCACCGGCUAACUACGUGCCAGCCGCCGCAGUAA
rnacentral:rRNA from 1 species